GGAUCCUGUUACUCCAAAUACAAAUACAGCCGAUAGGCCAAUUACAUGAUUUUAUUUUAUUUUUAUUCCUCUUGCAAGUAGAGAUGAGAGGAAAAAUUGUCAAAUGACACUUGUUUCGGGAUGAUGAAGACCGUCAUGGCGGUGAGAUGACGAGGGAUUGAUUCAGUGACAGAUGUCCACGAGGCAACAAGAGGUGCAGGUGGAUUAACGGCGUGUGCAUGGGGCAGAGUCGCUGAGAGGUGGGAGAACAUUGGAAGUUGUUACAGUGAAGACCAUUUUCAAGUUCUGAAAGUUCUGAGGAUUGUGUUGAGUAGCUUUCCCAACAAAUUCUGGAUCGCCUACAUGGAUAAUUUCUCGCCACUCCAUUUGGUUCAUUGUUAGAUAUAUAUUGGAAAGUUGCAGUAAGUUCAGGAUCUCCGAUGUGUAGCAUGACAACCUGCUUUCGACAGUCUUGAAGUUUUGAUUGCACUGCAAAGCACCCCUCUGUUACCCCUGUUGCUAGGGCGCAUCUAAAAGGGACUGUCUUCAUUGUAGAGUGAAUAAUAUUUUCUGAUAUCUGCAUUCGCAAGUCCAAACUUAUAUUGUCGAACAAAG
rnacentral:lncRNA from 1 species